rnacentral:rRNA from 1 species
UACGAAGGGUGCAAGCGUUACUCGGAAUUACUGGGCGUAAGGCGUGCGUAGGUGGUUCGUUAAGUCUGAUGUGAAAGCCCUGGGCUCAACCUGGGAACUGCAUUGGAUACUGGCGAUCUGGAGUGCGGUAGAGGGUGGCGGAAUUCCCGGUGUAGCAGUGAAAUGCGUAGAUAUCGGGAGGAACAUCCGUGGCGAAGGCGGCCACCUGGACCAGCACUGACACUGAGGCACGAAAGCGUGGGGAGCAAACAGG